AUUGAACGCUGGCGGCAUGCCUUACACAUGCAAGUCGAACGGCAGCACGGGAGCAAUCCUGGUGGCGAGUGGCGAACGGGUGAGUAAUAUAUCGGAACAUACCUAUAAGUGGGGGAUAACUAUCCGAAAGGAUAGCUAAUACCGCAUACGCUCUGAGGAGGAAAGCAGGGGAUCUUAGGACCUUGUGCUAAUAGAGUGGCCGAUAUCUGAUUAGCUAGUUGGUAGGGUAAAGCCUACCAAGGCGACGAUCAGUAGCUGGUCUGAGAGGACGACCAGCCACACUGGAACUGAGACACGGUCCAGACUCCUACGGGAGGCAGCAGUGGGGAAUUUUGGACAAUGGGGGCAACCCUGAUCCAGCAAUGCCGCGUGAGUGAAGAAGGCC
rnacentral:rRNA from 1 species